UGAACGCUGGCGGCGUGCUUAACACAUGCAAGUCGAACGAUGAAGCCUAGCUUGCUAGGUGGAUUAGUGGCGCACGGGUGAGUAAUAUAUAGAUAACGUGCCUCUUAGUCUGGGAUAGCCAUUGGAAACGAUGAUUAAUACUAGAUACUCCUUCUGAUUCUAAUUUCAGUCGGGAAAGUUUUUUCGCUAAGAGAUCGGUCUAUAUCCCAUCAGCUUGUUGGUAGUGUAAGAGACUACCAAGGCUAUGACGGGUAGCGGGUUUGAGAGGAUGAUCCGCCACACUGGUACUGAGACACGGACCAGACUCCUACGGGAGGCAGCAGUGAGGAAUAUUGCACAAUGGGGGAAACCCUGAUGCAGCAACGCCGCGUGGAGGAUGACGCAUUUCGGUGUGUAAACUCCUUUUAUAUGUCAAGAAAAUGACGGUAGCAUAUGAAUAAGCACCGGCUAACUCC
rnacentral:rRNA from 1 species